UACGUAGGGUGCGAGCGUUAAUCGGAAUUACUGGGCGUAAAGCGUGCGCAGGCGGCUGUGCAAGACAGGUGUGAAAUCCCCGGGCUCAACCUGGGAACUGCACUUGUGACUGCAUGGCUGGAGUACGGCAGAGGGGGAUGGAAUUCCGCGUGUAGCAGUGAAAUGCGUAGAUAUGCGGAGGAACACCGAUGGCGAAGGCAAUCCCCUGGGCCUGUACUGACGCUCAUGCACGAAAGCGUGGGGAGCAAACAGG
rnacentral:rRNA from 1 species